AUAACCAUUUACCUAUUCUCAACAGGUUAAGAGAAUAGGAAAAGCACUAUCUCCCUCAAUUCAAUUCAACCCUGAUUGUGUACCGGAGCAACAACGAAGGGCAUUUACAUGCAGCGUGGAGAAAGCAAACACCGACUUGAGUCUUACAACGAACAACUAUCGACGCCAUAAUGAGAAUAACGGGAAAUAAAUUUAUAACGAAACAUAUCCUAUAUAGUAGCGUAUUAUCAUAAUGGACGGUAUUAGGAUAUAUAGUCGUAAUGUGAUUGAAAAUACGUUUUUGUCAAUAAGGGUAAACUUUGAUGUAUUCAGUAGAACAACUGAUAUUAUAAAUGUAUUGUAUAAAGUUACGAGUAUAUUGUUAAAUAAGUAUAUUGUUAAAUAAUAAACUAUCAUAACACUAUCAUGAUGUUAUUUCUUUAUAUUUCUUUAUUUUUUCUUUCCCAUUGUGCACUUUCUGCUUUCGCUGUUGCUCUAUUGUGCCUUAUAACCAAACGUUAUUUGGACGAAACUCUUUCAGCGAUAGGACCGUAUUUGUACAUACUUUAUCAUAAAUUUAAUGUAUCUAUUAUUAUUCUGUUAUUAUUGGAGUAUACAAUAAAGAAUACAACUGA